GACCAGGUUAUUUAUUUCACGAGCGGGACCGAUGCAGCGAACGAGGACCAGUGGAAAUGGGCCAGCACUGAGCAAGGAAUCGGGUUCACUGACUGGUAUCCUGGUGACCCGGAUGGUGCUUUAGGUCAAAACUGUCUUGUUUUAUGGGGCAAAGCAAAUUUUGAAUGGAUUGAUGCUUCGUGUGAGAUGACUUACAAUUCAAUAUGCAAAAUCAGGAUCCCCAUCAAUGAUACUGCAAUUUUAGGCUGAGAUUGAGUACACAUGGAAUAUGAUGUUAAUGAAGUGCCAAAAUAACUGUGGCACUAUGAAACAGUAAAGUUAAUAUAUCAUUUUCUUACUGCU